UACGUAGGGUGCGAGCGUUGUCCGGAAUUAUUGGGCGUAAAGGGCUCGUAGGCGGUCUGUCGCGUCGGGAGUGAAAACUCAGGGCUUAACCCUGAGCCUGCUUCCGAUACGGGCAGACUAGAGGUAUGCAGGGGAGAACGGAAUUCCUGGUGUAGCGGUGGAAUGCGCAGAUAUCAGGAGGAACACCGGUGGCGAAGGCGGUUCUCUGGGCAUUACCUGACGCUGAGGAGCGAAAGCAUGGGGAGCGAACAGG
rnacentral:rRNA from 1 species